ACAUUUGCCUUAUGCAAUUGUUUUUUAACAUCUUCCUGAGUUACUGUUAGAGUGGAAAGUGCUUCACCCUCAUGACAGGAAUGCCUCAUCUGGCCUUCUCCCAAAUGCAGGAGAGAGAUAUUUAUUGCCUUUCCUUCCUGCCCAGCUACCCACAGGCCCACUGUUCCCAGUCUGUAUUGCACAUGCAGCCAUGGUGGGUCAUGCCCACAGCCUGUCCUGCUGCUGCCCUGGGCUGCAUCAUCCCUGGGAGCCAUGAAGCUCAGAGUGGUGCCACCACUUCCCUGCAUCUCUGCAUCCCGUGAUCAGCAUGACAAGCACCUGCUGCUUGUUUGUUCUCUUGUCCCAUCCCCAAGCAGCGAUGUGCACACAGAUGUCUUCUGUUUAAACAAGCAAAACAUAACAUUUUGUUUGUUUUUUUAACCUACAGAUCUUUUAAGUGGAUGUCAUUAAGCCUUUAUAGUGAAGUGAAGUGUGUGAGGGAAGAAGCAACUGAAAAGAUAGGGGGACAGAGGAGUGAGGGGAACCUCUUCAGUUCCAUACCACAGCAGCUUCACCUGCAGCUCACUGAGGAGAGAUAAACAUAUGGAAACAGCAGCAGAAGAUGCAUUUUAACUGACCUCUGAAAAGCUCAGAGACUGCUUGGAAGUCAAAGGCACAACCACAGGGACAUGUUCUUGUGCUGCUGACUGUGCCAGUGGACAACCUCAGACGCAGAGAAGAUGCCAGGCAGGCCAGAGAGGAGAGUAUCCCCUGCCAGCCUGCAGCCCAGACAGGCAGGCAAAGCCCAGCCCUGGCUGGAGCUAAACAUGGCCUCAUUUCAUGGCAAAACAAUUCCUCUUUGUGCAGCCUGUUCUCCCAGAACAAUCCUCUGCUCUGACAAUAUCCUUUCUAUGGCUUAGUCCCUGUGGAGUGACCAGCAGUGUGCUCAGCCUGAUGCCUGGCAGCUCACACCCCACUGCCACAUGGCCGAGGUGCAGCACCUGCGAUCCCUGCCCUGGGCAGCCUCUGCUGAGACUCUGUGGCUACUUAAGGUCAAGGCAAAAUCUUCUCAGGAAAGUCCCCAGCACAGCCUGAAGCACUUGGGAGGGUUUUUUCUUUUACCUUUGGUCACUCCAUGGAGCUGCAUGGCACCACUGUUCCACAAGUUAGGAGGACAGUCCUGGGACACAGCUGUGGAGCAUGACAUAUGGGUGUCGAGUCACCAAAUCUGACUGUGAUCCCAGCUCCCUGAGUGAAGAAGUCACACAGCUUCACCAAGCUGCUCCCUCAGGCUCCAGACAGUCUGGGAUAGGUUGCCAGAGAUUAUCAACUCCUGUGGGCUUUAAAUCAUAGAGGUAAAAUGAAAUUACUUUGUAUGGAAAGGGGACUUUGGGGAUGAGCAGGGCCGUGGCUUUCUCAUCACCUGCUUUUUCUCUCUUCAGGAGCAUGUGCCCAUGUACCCAGCCUUGAAAGGUCCCUGAGAAGGGGCAGUUUUCAUGUCCCUACAAGAGACAGAGCUCCCAGAGUUCCUGUGGUCUUCUGCCAAGGUGUGGCCUGUGGCCAGGCACCAAUAGUUGUACAGUAACCAAGGACUCCUGUUGAUCUGCAUGUCCUGAAACCUUCUGACCUCCUGACCAUUUCCUGCCUCCUGCCAGUGCACUCUGGGCCUUGAGGUGGUCCUGCCAUGCCUGCUGCCGUGCAGAGACACUGAAGAAUGGGCUUCUCCAGGCUUUUAGGAUCCUCAGACACCUUGCUGUGGCUAUGGCUCGGCUUCUUUCCCUCACCCUGCCCCAUGAUUUGGUGGAUUUGAAACAAGCACCUUUAUUCCAUAAGACUAUCCUCUAGGCCACACGAACAAGUAAAGAUGCUUUAACAGGUCCAGAGUGGGCUGAAACUUCUGGCAUGUCUGUGGAGGACCCCGUGCCCUGUAUUGCUGGGGUGAUGCUGCCAGCCCAUGGAGGUGGGUGGCAGGGUUUACACUGGAGAGGCUGCUAUGCAGCUGACAAAGAAUUCUUGUCACAGUAGGAAACAACAGUCAUGUGUGCUGCCCACCCAGCUGGAAGGCAAAGUCCAGCAAUUAAACACACCGGGGUGAAAGUCUGCUGUCAAACCUCCAGGGCACCACCACAGUGCCAGCAAGAUCCCAGGUGAUGCUCACACUGCCCCUUCCAUCUCAGGGAGUGCCUUUUUGCAGGUGGCAUUUUAAUGUAAAUCUAAGUGUCAUGUUACAACAGGGGUUUCAGCGGGGUCAUUUCGUGCCUGUUGGCUACAGAAAUGUUGUGGGUUGUUUGCUGGUAGCUUGAGGGGCUUAUAGGGACCUCAGAUUCCAGGAAUGCAAGCAUUUAUUUUGGCUUAAGGGAAGAGGGCAACAGUGAUGGGGUAUUUGGCCUUUACUGCCACUACAAUGUAAUCAGCACAAGUAACAAAAAUUUUUCACAGGGUGAGUCACUUAAUCUUGAUAUCAGCUGUGGAAGGAGGCAACACAUCAGCCUGAACACAUGCCCAGGCAUGGCCUACCUGCCCAUCUCCACUUUCUGAAAUUGCAGAGUGACAUGAUGGCAUUUAAUGGGCCUUCAGGUGCUGACUAGUGUCAUCUCUCACCACUUUUAGUGGCCAUAAAAGGCUUUUUUGAUUCUCUCAGUAUAGACAGAGGUGUUGUAGGAGCAUUUCUUGGAUGUGUUGAGAUUGUGAGCAAAUUCAACUUACCAUUUUUUUUUCCUUGGAGCCACAGAGAAAGUGUGCAGCAAUGAUUUGUGGUUGAUACUGCUUUAGAGUCCAACCCCAGGGAAAGGGAGUAGGGUACAACAACAUUAGAGAGCCAGUUUACAUUCACUGUUUUUAUCUGAUCACAUGCAAAAUUUUUGGUUUUUCAGGAUUAAAUAGAAAAGGAUGGGAGGAUCUGCAAAUCAUCUUUCCACUCCUCAAGUGUAUUAAGGUGUGUAAAUUUACUA